CCCUCGGGUCCGAGUUGUAAUUUGCAGAGGGAGUUUCGGAGGCGGCGCCGGCCCAAGUUCCUUGGAACAGGGCGUCAUAGAGGGUGAGAAUCCCGUACGUGGCCGGCGGUCAAUCCCGUGUGAAACCCCUUCGACGAGUCGAGUUGUUUGGGAAUGCAGCUCAAAAUGGGUGGUAAAUUUCAUCUAAAGCUAAAUACCGGCCAGAGACCGAUAGCGCACAAGUAGAGUGAUCGAAAGAUGAAAAGCACUUUGGAAAGAGAGUUAAAAAGUACGUGAAAUUGUUGAAAGGGAAGCGCUUGCAACCAGACUUGCUCGCGGGUGAUCAGCCUCCCUUUGGGGGGGUGCACUCACCCGUGAUCAGGCCAGCAUCGGUUUUGGCGGGUGGAUAAAGUCCCCGGGAAUGUGGCUCCCCUCGGGGAGUGUUAUAGCCUGGGGCGCAAUGCGCCCAGCCGGGACCGAGGACCGCGCUUCGGCUAGGAUGCUGGCGUAAUGGUUGUAAGCGACCCGUCUUGAAACACGG
rnacentral:rRNA from 1 species